rnacentral:miRNA from 1 species
UCACAGUGGAGGUAUACCUU